CCGUAUCAUACAUUCGUCACAGU
rnacentral:miRNA from 10 species